rnacentral:rRNA from 1 species
UACGUAGGGUGCAAGCGUUGUCCGGAAUUAUUGGGCGUAAAGAGCUCGUAGGCGGUUUGUUGCGUCGGCUGUGAAAUCCCGAGGCUCAACCUCGGGUCUGCAGUCGAUACGAGCAAACUAGAGUGUUGCAGGGGAGACUGGAAUUCCUGGUGUAGCGGUGAAAUGCGCAGAUAUCAGGAGGAACACCGGCGGCGAAGGCGGGUCUCUGGGCCGUAACUGACACUGAGGAGCGAAAGCGUGAGGAGCGAACAGG